CUGCUCCAACCAAAGACCCAGAAGACUAGAGAGCAACAAGGUGUACGAGACCAUGAUGUGCCCUGAAUCCUUCCUGAGCUGCACAAAAUUUAAUUACAUCCAUUGUAUUUAGUAUUCAAAAUAUACUGGCAGCCCAUCUAUUCGAGUACUAUGAAUGAACAACAAUGCCAACCAACCAGAGCUUCCAAGGACUAAGCCACUACCCAAAGAUUAUACAUGGACUGACCCUGGACUCCAACUGCACAGGUUUGGUAAUAACUACUUUUGAGGAACCAAGAGAUGGCAUCAGAUGUCCUGGUAGUCAACUGUGUGUCACCUGACUUAGUAUUCGAAGCGAGAAAUUACUCUUCACGGAUGAACCAUCACUCCAGAACCUGCCUUUGAUUUUCGGGCUUCUUUUGAAUGCAGAAUUUUCCAUAAUUUCCAGUAAACUCUUUAAUUGUCUUAUUAAAUAUACUUACUUUACUAUA